CGGAUACUUGAAUUGUCGGAUAACAGCUUUACCGGAAGCUUGCCACCAAGUUUCUUUGUUAACUGGAAAGCAUCAUCAGUCAAGAUAAAUGAAGAUGGGCGUAUGUAUAUGGGAGACUACAAAAAUGCUUAUUAUAUCUAUGAAGACACUUUGGAUUUGCAAUACAAAGGUCUAUUCAUGGAGCAGGGGAAAGUCCUUACUUCCUACAGCACCAUUGAUUUCUCUGGAAACAAACUUGAAGGACAGAUUCCUGAGUCCAUUGGUCUGUUGAAGGAAUUGAUUGCGCUCAACUUAUCAAACAACGCCUUUACUGGCCAUAUUCCUAUGUCUUUGGCAAAUGUUACGGAGCUUGAGUCACUAGACCUGUCAAGAAACCAACUAUCAGGGAAUAUUCCUAGAGAACUCGGAAGCCUUUCGUUUUUGGCGUAUGUAAGUGUGGCUCAUAAUCAACUCAAAGGUGAAAUACCACAAGGACCACAGUUUAGUGGGCAAGCUGAAUCAUCAUUUGAAGGGAAUGUAGGUCUAUGUGGUCUUCCUCUCCAGGGAAAUUGCUUUGCGCCACCAACACUCUAUUCAAAGGAAGAAGACGAAGAAGAAGAAGAGGACGAAGUGUUAAACUGGAAAGCAGUGGUUAUCGGGUAUUGGCCUGGACUGUUACUUGGAUUGGUAAUGGCACACGUCAUUGCUUCAUUCAAGCCGAAGUGGUAUGUCAAGAUAGUUGGUCCAGAUAAGGGCAAGCAAGUAGAUCCAGUUAGAUUGUUUAUGACUCUGGAUUCAAGAUGGGACAGUUUUAAUAAUAAGGAUAAUGUAGAAGAAGAAAGUGAUACGAAAAUAUAGAAUGUGGAUAUGUUGUUACCUGAUGUAAGAAAGAAGUUGACUAGUUUCUGUAACUUUUGGUUCCCUAAAUUAAGAUCUCUCUUUUGGCUGAUAAUAUCCUGAUGUAUCUCUUGGUAGAUUGUUGAGGUAGAGGCUUAUGACAUAAGGCAUUGGUUCUUCUCUGAUUCUUGAAUUAACCCGAGCCGAUGUUUCUUAAUGCACGAAAACCGUUGUUUCAGCUUCCUAUUAAGACAAACUGGAUGAAAUGAACAUAAGACAGUCCGAGCCUGUAAGAUCAUACAAGUCUCAAGAAUUCAAUCUCAGAACAGACAUUCACGAGAAUCUCUUUUUUAAAAUGUAAAUGCUACCACUCACAAUUGAUACAAAUCAGUUUAUAUCAUGAGAGGACUUACCAAAUAUAACAAUCUUGUUACACUUUGAACUAACAUUCUCAGAUAACAGAGUAUGCACAACAUAUCAAUCCAGAGUAGCUAAAACCCUAGAAUCAAAUUCACUAAAUUGAUUUCAUUUCAUGAUUCGAUUAUUCUUGCUUAUCAAAUCACGAGAGAAAAAAAAAAAAAAAAAAAAGAGUACAACAAAUGAGAUCACCUGGAACUACUUGAUUUAGGAAGCCUCUACCAAAACGUCGACGAGAGUGACGGUGAUCGCAAUAGCUCCGCCGUCGUCGCAUCAUAAAAUCUCCUUCUCGAUUUGUUUGUUACUAAAGUAGACUUUACAGGAAAUACUAACAAUCUGGUUAAUUAAAUUAUUAUUACCGGUUUUGUCUAAAUUGGUUUACUUACUGCUGGUUUAGCAUUUUAAAAAAUUAGUGCUGCUGGUUCAGCUUCUUUUUACUACAAACAAACACCAAAGAGAUCUA
rnacentral:lncRNA from 1 species